rnacentral:misc_RNA from 1 species
GGGGAAGAGGGUGGCGCGGUCGCUCAGAAGAAGGAGCGCUUGGAUGGCGCCCUCCCCACGGCCCUCAUGAAGUUGGCGAGCUCCAGCACGCGCGCCACCUUGGUGCCCCUCUUCGCCUCCGCCGACGCCCGCUUCUCCUCCGCCUUCCGCCGCGCCUUCGCCACCUCGUUCUGCGCCUUCUCCAUCGCCUUGGCCCUCUUCUCCUCCAGCUUCC